rnacentral:rRNA from 1 species
UACAGAGGUGGCAAGCGUUGUUCGGAAUUACUGGGCGUAAAGGGCGCGUAGGCGGUUCGUUAAGUCCUGUGUGAAAUCCCCCGGCUUAACCUGGGAACUGCGUCUGAUACUGGACGGCUUGAGUAUGGGAGAGGAACGUAGAAUUCCAGGUGUAGCGGUGAAAUGCGUAGAUAUCUGGAGGAAUACCGGUGGCGAAGGCGGCGUUCUGGACCAUUACUGACACUGAAUCGCGAAAGCUAGGGGAGCAAACGGG